CGAUUUGAGUUUGAUCCUGGCUCAGAGUGAACGCUGGCGGCAGGCCUAACACAUGCAAGUCGAGCGGCAGCGGGUCCUUCGGGAUGCCGGCGAGCGGCGGACGGGUGAGGAAUGCAUCGGAAUCUGCCUUUUUGUGGGGGAUAACGUAGGGAAACUUACGCUAAUACCGCAUACGACCUACGGGUGAAAGCCGGGGACCUUCGGGCCUGGCGCAGAGAGAUGAGCCGAUGCCGGAUUAGCUAGUUGGCGGGGUAAAGGCCCACCAAGGCGACGAUCCGUAGCUGNUCUGAGAGGAUGAUCAGCCACACUGGGACUGANACACGGCCCAGACUCCUACGGGAGGCAGCAGUGGGGAAUAUUGGACAAUGGGCGCAAGCCUGAUCCAGCCAUGCCGCGUGUGUGAAGAAGGCCUUCGGGUUGUAAAGCACUUUUGUUGGGNAAGAAAAGCACUGGAUUAAUACCUUGGUGUUCUGACGGUACCCAAAGAAUAAGCACCGGCUAACUUCGUGCCAGCAGCCGCGGUAGUACGAAGGGUGCAAGCGUUACUCGGAAUUACUGGGCGUAAAGCGUGCGUAGGUGGUUCGUUAAGUCUGAUGUGAAAGCCCCGGGCUCAACCUGGGAACUGCAUUGGAUACUGGCGAUCUGGAGUGCGGUAGAGGGUGGCGGAAUUCCCGGUGUAGCAGUGAAAUGCGUAGAUAUCGGGAGGAACACCCGUGGCGAAGGCGGCCACCUGGACCAGCACUGACACUGAGGCACGAAAGCGUGGGG
rnacentral:rRNA from 1 species